GUUGUUUAGUGUGCGUAUCAAUUCUUUGUUCGUCACCUUCUUCAAUCUUCAACGUCCUCUUUAAAUAGAUGCAAAAUAGAUCCAUUGGAGGUGAAGAUGAAAAUAUCCUCUAAGUAUCCAUUAUAAAAGACCACUUCAAAUGAAACACUAGAGUUGUGUUAUAGCCUAUAGUUGGUGAAGAUGAUUGGACGCAGAAGGCUUCUUUUAC
rnacentral:lncRNA from 1 species